UAGCUGGUCCUCCAAUACUAGCCAACUUUGCAAACUCUCCAAAUGUGAGAGUAAUCAGUAAGAGAGAUGAAUAGCUCUCAGUAGUCUCUUCUGUACCAACAAUAUUCAUUAAUUUUCUCACACUGUUGUCACUAAUAGCAGCAUUGUGUUUUGAAAAUGGCGCAAAAAACUAAAUAUAAUACUCUGCUCCUGAUUUUAAUACAGCUAAAAGGAGCAGAUCAACUAAAUUUAAAUAGUUAAAUAAACCAGUAUAUUUAUGUAAUAGGACCUUACAGAAGUAAGGAACGACCUCGUUCGGAAUGCAACAAAAGCGUUAGCCACCAAGAUCCGUAAAUCUAGUAAGAUAGUGGCGAAGACUUUCAUUGCAAUUCAACAGAAGCUUUUGCCGCCAAGUAGCCCGGUAAGAUAGCGACGAAAGCUUUUGCUGAACUCAAAUUUGGUAAGUAACGUUUCGUCUCCAUCAGCACCUUGUGAGAAAUCAUAAGUCUUUGGGUUCCGGGGGGAGUAUGGUCGCAAGGCUGAAACUUUAAGAAAAUGACGGAAGGGCACCACCAGGAGUGGAGCCUGCGGCUUAAUUUGACUCAACACGGGAAAACUUACCAGGUCCAGACAUAGUGAGGAUUGACAGAUUGUGAGCUCUUUCUUGAUUCUAUGGGUGGUGGUGCAUGGCCGUUCUUAGUUGGUAGAGUGAUUUGUCCGGUUAAUUCCGUUAACGACCCCUGCCUGCUAAAUAGCACGUGUAGUGUUUAUCACUGCAUUUGCGCUUCUUAGAGGGACGUGCGUUCUAUUAGACGCAGGAAGAUAGGGGCAAUAACAGGUCUGUGAUGCCCUUAGAUGUUCUGGACCGCACGCGUGCUACACUGAUGCAUUCAACGAGUUCUUACCUUGGCCGAGAGGCCUGGGCAAUCUUUUGAACCUGCAUCGUGAUAGGGAUAGAUUAUUGCAAUUAUUAAUCUUGAACGAGGAAUUCCUAGUAAAUGCAGAUCAUCAAUCUGCAUUGAUUACGUCCCUGCCCUUUGUACACACCGCCCGUCGCACCUACCGAUUGAAUGGUCCGGUGAGGCCUCGGGAUUGUGGUUAGUUUCCUUUAUUGGAAGUUAGUCGCAAGAACUUGUCCAAACCUUAUCAUUUAGAGGAAGGUGAAGUCGUAACAAGGUUUCCGUAGGUGAACCUGCGGAAGGAUCAUUA
rnacentral:ncRNA from 1 species